GUCCACGCCGUAAACGAUGGGUGCUAGGUGUCGCGGGCUUUGACCCCUGCGGUGCCGUAGCUAACGCAUUAAGCACCCCGCCUGGGGAGUACGGCCGCAAGGCUAAAACUCAAAAGGAAUUGACGGGGGCCCGCGACAAGCGGUGGAGCAUGUGGUUCAAUUUCGACGCAACGCGCAGAACCUUACCUGGGCUAGAAAAUGCAGGAACCUGGUCGAAAGGUCGGGGUGCUCUUCGGAGAACCUGUAGUUAGGUGCUGCAUGGCUGUCGU
rnacentral:rRNA from 1 species